rnacentral:rRNA from 1 species
CGCUGGCGGCGUGCCUAAUACAUGCAAGUCGAGCGAACUGAUUAGAAGCUUGCUUCUAUGACGUUAGCGGCGGACGGGUGAGUAACACGUGGGCAACCUGCCUGUAAGACUGGGAUAACUCCGGGAAACCGGAGCUAAUACCGGAUAACAUUUUCUCUUGCAUAAGAGAAAAUUGAAAGAUGGUUUCGGCUAUCACUUACAGAUGGGCCCGCGGUGCAUUAGCUAGUUGGUGAGGUAACGGCUCACCAAGGCAACGAUGCAUAGCCGACCUGAGAGGGUGAUCGGCCACACUGGGACUGAGACACGGCCCAGACUCCUACGGGAGGCAGCAGUAGGGAAUCUUCCGCAAUGGACGAAAGUCUGACGGAGCAACGCCGCGUGAGUGAUGAAGGCUUUCGGGUCGUAAAACUCUGUUGUUAGGGAAGAACAAGUACAAGAGUAACUGCUUGUACCUUGACGGUACCUAACCAGAAAGCCACGGCUAACUACGUGCCAGCAGCCGCGGUAAUACGUAGGUGGCAAGCGUUAUCCGGAAUUAUUGGGCGUAAAGCGCGCGCAGGCGGUUUCUUAAGUCUGAUGUGAAAGCCCACGGCUCAACCGUGGAGGGUCAUUGGAAACUGGGGAACUUGAGUGCAGAAGAGAAAAGCGGAAUUCCACGUGUAGCGGUGAAAUGCGUAGAGAUGUGGAGGAACACCAGUGGCGAAGGCGGCUUUUUGGUCUGUAACUGACGCUGAUACGGGAAAGGAAGGC